AUGCCCUUCAGAGAAAUGAUCCAUGGUGGAUUUAGGCCAGACAGCAUCACAUUCCUCGCAGCCCUUUCUGCCUGUAGCCAAGGCGGUCUCGUGGACGAAGGGCUUGCGAUCUUCCACUCCAUGGUCGAGGAUCAUUGUGUUAAGCCACAGAGGGAGCAUUGUGCUUGCAUUGUUGAUCUGUUAGGACACACCAGCAGAUUGGAAGAAGCAGAGGGAUUAAUCAGAGCCGUGGGGCUGGAAAUCGACUCAUUGGCAUGGGAAUCGCUUCUAGGUGCUUGUGCUUUACAUGGGGAAGUCGAGCUGGGAAGGUCAUGGAACUAG
rnacentral:rRNA from 1 species